CCCUUAGAUGUUCUGGGCAGCACGCGCGCUACAAUGGUCUUCGCAAACGGAUGCAUUCUCGAAGGAGAAUGCCAAUCUUGGAAUCUAUGCCUUGGUCGGGACAGUUGCUUGCAAUUUUUCGACUCGAACCAGGAAUUCCUUGUAAUCGUGAUUCAUCACAUCACGAUGAAUACGUCCCGGCCCUUUGUACACACCGCCCGUCGCUCCUACCGAUCGAAGAGUUAGGUGAAUUGUUUUGAUCGAUAAGAUUUGACUAUGGUAAACUCUCGUUGUGAAAUUCUGUGAAUCUGACUGUUUAGAGGAAGGAAAAGUCGUAACA
rnacentral:rRNA from 1 species